GAUGAACGCUGGCGGUAUGCUUAACACAUGCAAGUCGAACGGACUCUUCGGAGUUAGUGGCGGACGGGUGAGUAACGCGUGAGAAUCUGGCUUUGGGUUCGGGACAACCACUGGAAACGGUGGCUAAUACCGGAUGUGCCGAGAGGUAAAAGAGAAAUUGCCUGAAGAUGGGCUCGCGUCUGAUUAGCUAGUUGGUGAGGUAAAGGCUCACCAAGGCAGCGAUCAGUAGCUGGUCUGAGAGGAUGACCAGCCACACUGGGACUGAGACACGGCCCAGACUCCUACGGGAGGCAGCAGUGGGGAAUUUUCCGCAAUGGGCGAAAGCCUGACGGAGCAAUACCGCGUGAGGGAAGAAGGCUCUUGGGUUGUAAACCUCUUUUCUUAGGGAAGAACAAAAUGACGGUACCUAAGGAAUCAGCAUCGGCUAACUCUGUG
rnacentral:rRNA from 1 species